rnacentral:misc_RNA from 1 species
GUUCUUCCCUUACGAGUAACGGAUUAACUAAAGGCACACCAAGUGUGUUACCAGAAGCAAAAGUGAGCAUUUGCAUAACUGUUCCUCCCCAUGGUGAGGCCAAUGCUAUAAAGUGUUUGAUGUACUUUUGACUCCAGCAUUUUGGAUUACGAACGAGUAGUUGCUGGACAUAUAGACCACCUAAGCUGUGAGAAACAAGAAUUACAGGUUUACCUCCAUUUGAAUUACUUGCACUUUCUAUCAGUUCUUUCAAGUCCUCGAGAUAUUUCGAACCAACAUGACUUUGAUGACCUUCUGCAGCCAAACCAUAACGAAAAUCGUAGGGUGCUCCAAACAGAUUUGCACCAUCUCUAUAGCCUAUUUCUUCCAAAGCUUUCACAAGUGGCUCCAUAUAUGCUGUAAUUUUCUGUAG